GAUACCCUUAGUAAAUGCAUGUCCUAUUAACCCUUCUUUCAUAAUUAGCAUAGCUAUUUGUCUUUGUUUGUGUUUUUGCUCUCCGAAAUAUCAAAACCCCCCUAUUCCUUUUGCCUCUCGAUCGCCCCCUCUCAAAGAUCAAAUAAUGCGGUUUCGAAGUCCAGCUUCUUCCUAACUCCCUUUGAUCAUGAUCAUCACAAUGUUGGAAAGAGGAUGAAGGGCUCAUCAGCGAAUGGAAGGGUGUUGGGAGGGGCGGCAGCUAAUUUCAGAGAGUUCUGCAAGUCCAAGGGGCACCAGUUUUAUGAUUUUUUCUUUCAUUCUAAGAACACAACCUCAGAUAGCAAAAGGGUUGUUCCUACUGGUCCUAAUCCCUUACAUAACAGGUAAAAUACACUAUUACCUAGGGAUGAAGAACUAAGCUUGCUGCUAGCUAGCCUUGAUGUAAUAGUAGUAAUACCUUCAUAUUUGGAGUGUGGCAUAUUGCUUCUCCUCUAUGUUGAUGCAUCUCUUUUUUAUCUUUUCAAAUUACAGAGAGGAAUUAGACGAGAUUAGAUCUUUAGCUUGACGCUUCUCUCUAAUUUGUAAUUUUAUCUUUGUUUUUCAUGUAAUGUUAGUGAUAUGAGUUUUGGUCUUUCUAGUUGGCUGCCAAUUUUCUGUGAAAUGUCUACUUAACUAGUUGUACUGUA